rnacentral:tmRNA from 1 species
GGGGGUGAAAAGGUUUCGAUCUGGGUAGGUCGAGGCAAAAGUGGCAUGUGGAGGUGUCAGGAGGCCUCCUUAAACACCUGACACAAUACAAACGCAAGCUCGAACAGAGUAGCGGGAUUACAGCUUGCCAAGGCAACGCCUUGUCUUGCUGGAGUUUCGCUUAGCGCUGAAACCCUCAACUAAUUAGUUGAGGUCUCCUUUGGUCAGUCCUACGGGGCCAAAAGGAGUCGAAAGUAGGAUAGUCCGGUAUCUUUAGCUUUUGGGAUACCGGAUGAAACUCAAAAAGCUGUUCUUUCCCGUAUCCCGCUUAUCGGAGACGGGAAAGAGAACUUAAGAAGGUAAGCUAAACAUGUAGAGGCUUUUGCUACGAGAUCCAGGGACGCGGGUUCAAUUCCCGCCACCUCCACCA